GGAUGUGAGGGCGGUCUGUCACCCCACUGAUCUGCAGGGUUGAUUAGGUUGAUCUGGCUGACUAGGCAGGUGUCCCCUUUCUCGCUCACCUAUCCAUGCGCAUCCCUCCCAGAGCUGCAAGCUGUGUGCUCUGUCAAAGAGGAUGGCCUUCCCCCUGGAGGAGAGGACCGGUCUUCAAUCAAGGGUAUACAAGUAGCUGUGCUGCCCUGCUAGACCCUCCAAACAACCUAUCAAGGUUCAUUUGUAGAAGAACUCCGGGUUGGUAGAAUUUAGGAGAUAGAUAGAUAGAUAGAUAGAU
ensembl:misc_RNA 7SK 7SK RNA